rnacentral:rRNA from 1 species
UACGUAGGGUGCGAGCGUUUGUCCGGAAUUAUUGGGCGUAAAGAGCUUGUAGGCGGUUUGUCGCGUCUGCUGUGAAACCCGAGGCUCAACCUCGGGCCUGCAGUGGGUACGGGCAGACUAGAGUGCGGUAGGGGAGAUUGGAAUUCCUGGUGUAGCGGUGGAAUGCGCAGAUAUCAGGAGGAACACCAAUGGCGAAGGCAGAUCUCUGGGCCGUAACUGACGCUGAGGAGCGAAAGCAUGGGGAGCGAACAGG